UUUCCGUAGGUGAACCUGCGGAAGGAUCAUUACUGAGUUACAGCCCCUCGGGGUCCAACCUCCCACUCGUGUUUUACGAACCUGGUUGCUUCGGCGGGCCCGCGUCACGGCCACCGCCGCGCAUGUGCCCCCGGGCCCGCGCCCGCCGAAACAACAUCAGAACGCUGAGUGAAGUACGCAGUCAGAGACAAUUAUUAAAUUAAAUAAAACAUUCACAAACGGAUCUCUUGGUUCCGUCAUCGACGAAGAACGCAGAAGAUAGGAAGAGCACACGCGUUA
rnacentral:misc_RNA from 1 species